rnacentral:rRNA from 1 species
UACGGGGGGGGCAAGCGUUGUUCGGAAUUACUGGGCGUAAAGGGCGCGUAGGCGGUUGGAUAAGUCAGCUGUGAAAACCACGGGCUUAACUCGUGGCCUGCAGUUGAGACUGUCUGGCUUGAGUGUGGGAGAGGAGAGUGGAAUUCCUGGUGUAGCGGUGAAAUGCGUAGAUAUCGGGAGGAACACCAAUGGCGAAGGCAGCUCGCUGGGACGGUACUGACGCUGAGACGCGAAAGCGUGGGGAGCAAACAGG